GUCUGCAUAUUUUGAUGCGAAAAGUCUGUGCGAAAAUUGUAAAUCACCCCCCGCUACCACGCAAACGUCAAACUUUGCUUGCUUGAAAACAAAGCUUGCCUUGACUGUGCGCGCUCACUUCCGCUGAAAAAAGGGACAGUCAUUCGGUGGACGCCAACGUGAAGAACGGUCGUGCGGUGGACGAGGUUCCACUCGGUGAUUCACGCUGACCGCGUGCGCGUGUAUUCUGUCCCGUGAAAAGUGGUCGCCCCGCCGUCAAGUCGUGCUGCUGUCGUGCGCCUUCGGAUGGAAAAAAGGAUUGUGCCCAGACGCACACGUUCGGCGCAAAAACUAAGCCACCGCAUCCGACUCCAGUCCGAAUCGACUGCGUUCCGAUAACGCACACACACACAUCAUCGUCGGGACGGUAGAAGGCCCCGAACAGGGGCCUUUUUUGUGCGUACUCGAACCGCCCAGGAACUUCGAAGCCGGAAUCUCAUCGUCUGCGUACGGUCUGCGGGAACAACAAGAUGGCGGUCAAAAUGCGGGCGAGAAUCGCACGAGACAGCCAGGACUUCAACGCGGCCGGGAUCAGGGCAAACGGCCGGGGCAGUUGUCGUGGGCAGCGGCAGCAGGGCGGUCGGUGAUGGCGGAGAAAAAACAUCGCCGCGAGGCGGCGGACGCCGGCGCAGCGGCUGGCGAUCGAAGGGGAUCAUGGCAAGGUCUUGCGGAGGAGGAGAAGUGAGUAGAGCGGGGAAAAGAAAAAGAAGGAAGAAGAAGAAGGAAAAAGAAAAGGGCUAGUAGCCGAAAAGGCGCGCGGAGCGCGGGAAAAGAAGAAGAGCACAGGGGAAGUUUGAAGAAGAGGGAAGGAAGAGUUGUACGAACAAACACACACACAAACACCAACACGUUCGAUAUGUUUGAAUACACAUGAAAACUAGA